rnacentral:tRNA from 2 species
GUCAGGAUGGCCGAGUGGUCUAAAGCGCCAGACUCAAGUUCUGGUCCUUGUAAGAGGGCGUGGGUUCAAACCCCACUUCUGACA